rnacentral:rRNA from 1 species
CGCGGUAAUUCCAGCUCCAAUAGCGUAUACUAAAGUGUUGCAGUUAAAAAGCUCGUAGUUGGAUUUCUGGCGGGGACGGCUGGUCGGUCUCGAAAGGGGCUGUACUGUUGUUGGUUCCCGUCAUCCUUGGGGAGAGCGGCUCUUACAUUAAGUUGUCGGCGUCGGGAUCCCUAUCUUUUACUGUGAAAAAAUUAGAGUGUUCAAAGCAGGCUUAGGCCCUGAAUACAUUAGCAUGGAAUAAUAAGAUACGACCUUGGUGGUCUAUUUUGUUGGUUUGCACGCCAAGGUAAUGAUUAAUAGGGAUAGUUGGGGGUAUUCGUAUUCAAUUGUCAUAGGUGAAAUUCUUGGAUUUAUGGAAGACAAACUACUGCGAAAGCAUUUACCAAGGAUGUUUUCAUUAUUCAAAAACGAAAGUUAGAGGGUCGAAGAUGAUUAGAUACCAUCGUAGUCUUAACCAUAAACUAUGCCGACUAGGGAUCGGUGGGUGCAUUUUUAGGCCUCAUCGGCACCUUAUGAGAAAUCAAAGUCUUUGGGUUCCGGGGGGAGUAUGGUCGCAAGGCUGAAACUUAAAGAAAUUGACGG